AUGCCUGUUUUGGAUGUUGAGCCACAAGACCACAACUCAUCCAGCCUGCAGCUUGAUAUUCAAGAUCUCUCCCCCUGCCCAUCUCCUGACCCUUACUCCCUGCCUCCAGUCCUCAGCCCACAAGUCCCUUAUCCCUCCUACAUUAUGGAGCCGCGCUGCCUGUACUCGGAGCCUCCUGUCCUCAGUCCUCAACUGUGCACUGCAGAGGAGGCUGUGGAAGGACACACUUGUGAAAUGGACACUGCAGAAAGUGUGUCUCAGUCUGUCCCGGAUCCUAACUCCACCCCACUUUUUCCCUCUGUGAAUUUAACAAAUGCAGAAGGAGAAACGGGAUCAAAGCAACAAAGCCUUUUAGGAUUUAGUGCUAUCUCAUGUUCCACCAAUGGUUGGAAGUGUGCUCUGCUGUUGUCACGUAGAUCUCGCUCCCUCCCUCGACGGUCAGCGUCGGCAGUAAACCCCAAAAAGCGCUGUAGAUCAGCCAGCCCCGAACACAGCCGGAGCAAAAGGAGGAGGAUUACAGCGGAUUUUGGGUACUGUGGUAGCUGGACUGAACAAGGGCAUAAAUCUGCCAAACCAGACAUUAUGGCAAAACCUGAGGGCUGGUUGUUAUUUGAUAAGGUCUUUUGUCAGGUAAUGCAGUCCUGUCCUGUGCCAAAGGUCUCUCCAACAUGCACUGUGGAAACACUUGGUUCAAAACAGACUUUUACAAAGUUUUGUGUUCCUACAUUACAGAAUUUCCCUCAAAUGGCACCAAAUCAAAUGGACAUUUUAGGUCAUGGUAGCACUUAUGUUGCUGAUCAUCCAUCACAGCCACUCUCCUCAAAUGCAAAGACUUGUGAUCCGCCACCUCAGUUCCCCAAAGCUAAAUCUCACAGUGCAUUUUCCGGUCAAGUCUCUCAACAUACGCUAUCCCACUCUACCUCAGUGUGCAUAGAGUCAUUCCUCAUCCCAGACUUAGCCACGUUCUCUUCAUCAUCAUCAGACUCUGACUGGGACUGUGGCUUGCUGUCUCAGCUCGGACCGACCUCUGCUGCUCCUCUGUCACCCACUGAGCAGAGCUGUGAGCUUGACAAGGAGCUCCUCCACAUGCCGUGCACCUGGAUGCACGACACCAGCUAUGAGUCACGUCUACACACAGUCCUUCAGCCGCCAAACCCAGCCGCCUCACUGUGUGGGGAAGAAAUGGAGCCCUCAGCAUUUUCCAGGACUCUAGUGCAGAUUGUUGAGGUUCAGCACUGA
rnacentral:lncRNA from 1 species